CGGCGAGUAGCGCAGCUUGGUAGCGCAACUGGUUUGGGACCAGUGGGUCGGAGGUUCGAAUCC
rnacentral:tRNA from 1 species